rnacentral:rRNA from 1 species
UACGUAGGUGGCAAGCGUUGUCCGGAUUUAUUGGGUUUAAAGGGUGCGUAGGCGGCCCUGUAAGUCAGUGGUGAAAUGCUCCAGCUUAACUGGAGAGGUGCCAAUGAUACUGCAGGGCUUGAGUACAGAUGAGGUAGGCGGAAUUGACGGUGUAGCGGUGAAAUGCAUAGAUAUCGUCAAGAACACCUAUAGCGAAGGCAGCUUACUGGGCUGUAACUGACGCUGAGGCACGAAAGUGUGGGGAUCAAACAGGAUUAGAAACCCGGGUAGU